rnacentral:sRNA from 1 species
AUGGCUGUCGUCAGCUCGUGUCGUGAGAUGUUGGGUUAAGUCCCGCAACGAGCGCAACCCCCGUGUUCUGUUGCCACCCAGAUGUAAAUCUGGAGCACUCUGGACAGACUGCCUGGUUUCAACUAGGAGGAAGGUGGGGAUGACGUCAAGUCAGUAUGGCCCUUACGGCCAGGGCUGCACACGUACUACAAUGCCUGAUAUAAUGGGAAGCAAGACCGCGAGGUGGAGCAAAUCCUCAAAAUCAGGCCCAGUUCAGAUUGUAGGCUGCAACUCGCCUACAUGAAGGAGGAAUCGCUAGUAAUGCCGUAUCAGCUACGACGGCGUGAAUACGUUCCCAGGCCUUGUACACACCGCCCGUCACAUCAUGAAAGUCGAUUGUACCCGAAGUCGCUGAGUUAACCGCAAGGAGACAGGCGCCGAAGGUAUGGUUGGUAAUUGGGAUGAAGUCGUAACAAGGUAGCCGUAGGGGAACCUGCGGCUGGAUUACCUCCUUUCUAAGGAUGAGUGAAAGUAAAAUUUCACUCUAAAUAAUAUACAUCGGUAAUGUUGACCGUCCUCAUUUCUCUUCUUAAAGUAAUGUUUCCUUCUUGUAGGGCCGGUAGCUCAGUUGGUUAGAGCACACCCUUGAUAAGGGUGGGGUCGAAAGUUCGAGUCUUUCUCGGCCCACCAAUAACCUAAAUGGGGGAUUAGCUCAUCUGGGAGAGCGCCUGAUUUGCAUUCAGGAGGUAGCAGGUUCGAUCCCUGUAUCCUCCACCAGGAAACAUUUAGUUAUUAAAACUGUAAAUAAAAAUAAUUUAUAUCAAUAUCUAUAUCCGAACAUUAAAAGUUAUUAUUUAAUGUUCAAAAUAAAAAUUUGAUCACAACACAGAAAAAAUUUUUUUCUGUGCAUAAAUCAAGCGUUUAAGGGCGUGUAGUGGAUGCCUUGGCACUGAAAGCCGAUGAAGGACGUGAUAUACUGCGAUAAGUUUCGGGGAGCUGUAUGUAAGCUUUGAUCCGAAAAUUUCCGAAUGGGGAAACCCGG